UGGUGAAAUCCUGCGGCUUAACCGUAGAAUUGUCAUUGAUACUGUUAUUCUUGAGUUCAGUUGAGGUGGUCGGAAUGUAUAAUGUAGCGGUGAAAUGCUUAGAUAUUAUACAGAACACCGAUUGCGAAGGCAGCUCACUAAGCUGAUACUGACGCUGAGGCACGAAAGCGUGGGGAGCGAACAGGAUUAGAUACCCUGGUAGUCCACGCUGUAAACGAUGAUCACUCGCUGUUGGCAAUACAUCGUCAGCGGCUGAGCGAAAGCAUUAAGUGAUCCACCUGGGGAGUACGUCGGCAACGAUGAAACUCAAAGGAAUUGACGGGGGCCCGCACAAGCGGUGGAACAUGUGGUUUAAUUCGAUGAUACGCGAGGAACACUUACCUGGGCUUAAAUGCAGAACGACGGUUCCCGAAAGGGAUCCUUCUUCGGACGGACUGCAAGGUGCUGCAUGGUUGUCGUCAGCUCGUGCCGUGAGGUGUCGGGUUAAGUCCCAUAACGAGCGCAACCCCUAUUGUUAGUUGCCAGCGAGUAAUGUCGGGGACUCUAACGAAACUGCCGGUGUAAACCGAGAGGAAGGUGGGGAUGACGUCAAAUCAGCACGGCCCUUAUGUCCAGGGCUACACACGUGUUACAAUGGUCGAUACAGAGAGAAGCUACUUGGCGACAAGAUGCUAAUCUCGAAAAUCGUUCUUAGUUCGGAUUGGAGUCUGCAACUCGACUUCAUGAAGCUGGAAUCGCUAGUAAUCGCACAUCAGCCAUGGUGCGGUGUAUACGUUCCCGGGCAUUGUACACACCGCCCGUCAAGCCAUGGAGCACGGGGGUACAUAAAGUCCGUAACCGAAAGGAGCGGC
rnacentral:rRNA from 1 species